rnacentral:rRNA from 2 species
UACGUAGGUGACAAGCGUUGUCCGGAUUUACUGGGCGUAAAGAGCGCGCAGGCGGUCGUUCAAGUCGAGUGUGAAAGCCCCCGGCUCAACUGGGGAGGGUCAUUCGAUACUGAUCGACUCGAAGGCAGGAGAGGGUAGUGGAAUUCCCGGUGUAGUGGUGAAAUGCGUAGAUAUCGGGAGGAACACCAGUGGCGAAGGCGACUACCUGGCCUGUUCUUGACGCUGAGGCGCGAAAGCUAGGGGAGCAAACGGG